GAUGAACGCUAGCGGGAGGCUUAACACAUGCAAGUCGCGGGGCAGCACGGUGUAGCAAUACACUGGUGGCGACCGGCGCGCGGGUGAGUAACGCGUAUGCAACCUACCCGGUACAGGGGGAUAGCCCGGAGAAAUUCGGAUUAAUACCCCAUAAUGAUAUAUAUAGGCAUCUUUAUAUAUUUAAAGCUACGGCGGUACCGGAUGGGCAUGCGUAAGAUUAGCUAGUUGGUAGGGUAACGGCCUACCAAGGCUCCGAUCUUUAGGGGUCCUGAGAGGGUGAUCCCCCACACUGGUACUGAGACACGGACCAGACUCCUACGGGAGGCAGCAGUGAGGAAUAUUGGUCAAUGGGCGCAAGCCUGAACCAGCCAUCCCGCGUGAAGGAAGAAUGCGCUAUGUGUUGUAAACUUCUUUUCCGGAGGAAUAAAAUUUUGUACGAGUACAGGACUGAAGGUACUCCGGGAAUAAGCAUCGGCUAACUCCGUGCCAGCAGCCGCAGUAAGAC
rnacentral:rRNA from 1 species